rnacentral:tRNA from 1 species
GUUUUAAUAAUUUAUAAAUAAAAUAUUGGUCUUGUAAACCAAAUAAAAAGUAUUAACUUUUUAAAACU